rnacentral:pre_miRNA from 1 species
CAGGCAUGAGCCACUGUGCCCGGCCUUAUUUACAGUCUUUAAAAUUCGAAGACAAGCUGGUUAUAAAUCUACUGUUGAAUGUGGAUUUUUUGGUAUCUCAGGGUCAACAUUCACUAUGUUGCUGUUCAUUCAGCUCUGUCGAAACUCAAAUCAUUCACAAGAAAAAAGUUAUGAACAAAACACCCUUAGCUUUUUGACACGAGUUAAACAUUCUUGUUUUGAAACUGAGUAUGAGUCUAGAGGCUAAGUAGCUAUCCCCAGAUCAUAAGGCAAUAGGGACUACUUGUUCCUGAAAAGAUACAGCCUCAUUUCUGCACUGUGUGUUAUGCGAUGACUCAUUUGUUAUUCCGGUUAAUCAUGUACAAAGCUAUUCAAAAGAAUUCCAGAUCAACAUGAAUAGUAUUAUAAAUCCAGGCAGGAGUUCAGAGGUUUUUAUAAGAGAUAUCUAUAAUUAUUGCUUAGACUGCCAAAAGCACAAUAAAAG